AUUGAACGCUGGCGGCAGGCCUAACACAUGCAAGUCGAACGAGUGGCGGACGGGUGAGUAAUGUAUGGGAAACUGCCUGAUGGAGGGGGAUAACUACUGGAAACGGUAGCUAAUACCGCAUACCAUCGGAUGUGCCCAGAUGGGAUUAGCUAGUAGGUGGGGUAAAGGCUCACCUAGGCGACGAUCCCUAGCUGGUAUGAGAGGAUGACCACACACACUGGAACUGGGACACGGUCCAGACUCCUACGGGAGGCAGCAGUGGGGAAUAUUGCACAAGGGGCGCAAGCCUGAUGCAGCCAUGCCGCGGGUAUGAGGAAGGCCUUCGGGUUGUAAAGUACUUUCAGCGGGGAGGCGUUACCCGCAGAAGAAGCAACGGCUAACUCCGUGCCAGCAGCCGCUGUAAUAC
rnacentral:rRNA from 1 species